AUGGACAAGCUGAUGUUUUGCAACCGUGAAGCUACUAGUCACCAGCUCGGUCGUCCGUUGGAGGGAGGCAUGGUGAUGCUGCGGUUGCUGGCCUGUUCGAGAGCGAGAGAGAGGGAGAGAGAGGGGGAGGAGAGGGAGAGAGAGGGAGAGAGAGAGAGGGAGGAGAGGGAGGGAGGGAGAGAGAGAGCAUGGGGAAGGAAUCCAACCUGCAGACACGCAAACGUAGACGAACGAAGACCGGAUCCAGUUGGAUCCACCGAAGACGAAUGUCGACCAAAUCCCACGGGAUCCGUUGGAGACAAAUCUCCACACGCCUUCACCUGGGCGGGGGUUAGGCUUAGAGGACCUUAUUUCAUCUUUAAGAAGCCGCCGCUGCAUCAUCUUCUUGACCAUGGUAGAAACCCUAAUAAAAUGUAG
rnacentral:rRNA from 1 species